GACGAACGCUGGCGGCGCGCUUAACACAUGCAAGUCGAGCGAGAACCUGGGCUUCGGCCCUGGGGACAGCGGCGAACGGGUGAGUAACACGUGGGUAAUCUGCCCUUGACAUCGGGAUAGCCCGGGGAAACCCGGAUUAAUACCGAAUAGCCUCCGGAGCCUUCGGGCGCCGGAGAAAAGGUAGCUUCGGCCUCUGGUCAAGGAUGAGCCCGCGGCGGAUUAGCUUGUUGGCGGGGUAACGGCCCACCAAGGCGACGAUCCGUAGCUGGUCUGAGAGGACGAUCAGCCACACUGGGGCUGAGACACGGCCCAGACUCCUACGGGAGGCAGCAGUGGGGAAUCUUGCGCCAAUGCGGGAAACCGUGACGCAGCGACGCCGCGUGGGGGAAGAAGGCCUUCGGGUUGUAAACCUCUUUCAGGAGGGACGAAGCCACUCGGGUUAAUAGCCCAGAGGGUGACGGUACCUCCAGAAGAAGCCCCGGCUAACUACGUGCCAGCCGCCGCCGUAACAC
rnacentral:rRNA from 1 species